rnacentral:lncRNA from 1 species
GACUAUCGCUUUUAUAAGUUUCUCCUUGGUUCUGGCGUUCACAUAAAUAAAGAGACAAACAUGUAUGAUUUAUAACUCCAAAUUAACCAACCCAAUUAAUUCAACAUGAUUAGUCCUUUAAUCUUUGUUCUUAGUACUACCUUCGUGAUCCCACACUCCUAAUCAUAUAAGCUAAAAUGUUGCACAUUCAAUCUUUGGAAGAUAUAAACAAAACAUAAAUAUAGAUAGAUUAUCUUUCCAUUAGGUUGAGCCAUCUGAUCUAACAAAUGUUUUAAAUGCUACACUCAUGAUCCAUCAACUUUGUCUUGCUCACUAUGCUUAAGGUUAGAGAAGAACAAAUACACUUUUGGUUCUGUUGGUGUUUUCCACCAACAGAGCCCAUGCACUUGAUCUCUACCUUGUCUCUAUGAGCAGGACACAUUUUGAGAAACGUGAAGGAGUUUUACAACUCCCAGACUCCACCAAGUGAAGGACCUGGAUCUACGAGCACAAACACACUGAGCAGGAUAUUGCCAACACCGCACUUCGAACUGCUAGACAAACAAAGAACAUGGGUAACACCGUAUCAAGAGGUGCAGACGUCAAGGUCCACACCUAAUCAAAUGAUGCACCUAAAAGAUGAAGACGGUGAGAAUUCUUGUCGAGAAGACUUAAAACAUUGGAUCCUUGUCGGAGGAGGUCAAGAUCGUCGACUCAAGUCGCCCUUCCUGAUCAAGAAGGACGACCCUGGUGUUCCAAGCAUCGAGUGCACAAUCAAUGGAUACUCUUUUCAGAAGACACUCUACGACACCGGAUCUGACGACAACAUAAUGGCCACAGUCACUUAUCAGCUCCUGCAUGGAACCAUGCCUCUACAACCAACAUACAUUCAGCUCCAAAUGAUUUUCAGAUCAUUGACAUGGGAGAAGACGAGUACGAUCCACCCAUCAUCCUUGGAAGACCAUUCCUCAACACUAUCAAAGUUAUCAUCUACAUUGGAACCGGAGAAGUCCACGUGCACUUCCCCACUCAGAAGGUAUGCCACUACUUUAUGAUUCUAACUAUAUAAUUGAAGAUUCUAAGCAGGUCAGGACAAGAAGAAGACAACGCAACCGCAACCAGAGGAGGCAAAUCAUCAAAGACGGAUGGGUAGACUACGAAGGAGAAGUGAUAAGGUCUGAAGACAUAUAGCUUGAACAGAACUGUCCUGAGGAGACCGUAGCACCGAGUCAGGUGUGGAGAGAGAAGAUAGUUAUACACGAAGAAGAGGCGCCGCCUGAAUCACCGACUACGCCACCUAGCGAAUCCCAGGAUGACUUAAAACACAAGGAGUCCCGUUCGGAGGACUUAAAAACACCGAACGCCUUGCCCAGAGGUAAACUUGGUAGUUAUCUUUUUCCCUUCAAUUAUUUAAAAUAGUUUGCUUACUUAAUCAGGUUCAUACUAUCUUAAAAAGAAAAUAAAAAUGUUAAAAAAAUAGUAAGCUCCAUGUGAGUAUGCUCAUGGCAUAAAACCCAUAAGUACAUUCACUGUGGUGGCAUAAAAAUAAAAUAAAUAAGUUUUCAUCUUACAAUAAAAAUAUAAAAAUAAUAAGUGCAUAAUCCUGCUAAAUAAGUAAUAUUUAUUGAGGAGGCUCAACAUGAUAAAGGCUAGAUAUUUAUGCUAACACUUAACCAGUUCCACAAAGCUUUGUUGUCUAUUUGAGCUCCACAGGAUUCAAGGAUAAAAAAAAAGACUAGCAGACGGAGGACAUCCUAAUCGCUGUCAGGGUGCUGCCGACUUUCAAAUACACCUCCAUCACCUGCUAGCUACAUCAGAAAAAAGUACGUCAAAAUCCAGCUUGGGGGAGAGCAUCCCCAUUUAUCCAGCUAAGUGUUUCUACUCACGUUUAUACUUUACUCAAAUAAUAAAAGAUGCAUAAUCAUGAAAACCCAAAAAAAGAUUUUGUGCUUUUAUAUAUAUAUCUUUGCUUAGUUUGCUAAAUAAAUAAAUAAAUAAAGUUUGCUAUGAACCCUCAUGAUAAACUCUCACAUGGAAAUGAUGAAUAGUUACUCUGCCAUGACUAGUUCUUAAAAUUGAAAUCUCUCUCAAGUUUAGGCAUGACUGUUAUGAAGUAAGAUUUGCUCUAAACCUGAACUUGUGGGAAGAGUACUUGAUCUAAAGUCUAAGUUGUUAACGGAUAUGAUAUGGGAAGGUUGAGCUGCUGUUUAUCUGUUCCUAGAGAUGCUAGAAUUCUGGAGAAUUUUAUCUUUGAAAACCUUUAAAAUGACACAUGAUGAGUUCCUGUAUGAUGAGAGUUUAAAUUCCUACCACAGCCAUAUAUACAUGCUUGCUAGAUUUUAAGCCACACAUUUAUUUUUUACUGCUUAUGAGCAUUGAGUGUGGUCAAGCUAUGUAGACCCUUAGGAGCUUGUCAUGUGGUUAAAAUCAAGAUUCACUUGCACGUUCACUCAUAUAUGCUACUUCUACUCCGAAAGUACCAUCCACAUAUAUGCACUCAUUUCCAUCUCCAGAUUCACCUAAAAUUAUUCUACUCCUAUCCGGAAGAGAAUAGCCAAAAAUAUUUUCCUAUCCCUGUUAUUCCCUGUGAAAUAAAUGCUCCAGUUAUUUUGGUUACUACCACUUGCUACAUUCUUUCAGGAGAUGAGUGCUCUAAAAAAAGAGAAAAAAAAUAUAAUACGAGGAAAUAAAAAGGGGCAAGUGCCCGGAACCUCGAAGAAAAAGAAAAAAAAGUGAGACGAGAGGUAAAAAUGGACAAGUGUCCGACAGUAGAAUUAGGGGUACAAGAUACCCACCUGAGAGGUAUCUCAUUCUCCCCAAAAAGCUUCAAAGUGCAAGAAAGGUAUGUAUCCCUUUAAAAGAGCAAAAAUAGAAUUAGACUUUCACCAUUGUUAUCACCAUCAUCACCAUACACCAUUCAUUCGCCACACAUGUACAUCUUGAUUUAACUUAUUGACUUGUUUCUCUGGAUCCAUGAUUUGACUAUGCAAUAAAUGUCUUGUAAGUAUGUAUUAGCUGUCUCCCACCUAUGAGCUCCAGAUAUCAAAACCUUAUUAGAGUAGGGUGAGAGAGAAGGCAAUAUCACUAUGCCUCAUACCACAAAUACUACAUACUUUGAGAGAAGGCAUAUAUCAUUACUGCCCUGGUAAGGAUCCAGAAAUACCACAAAAGAGAGAUUUGAGAGAGUCAUACAAGGAAUCUCUGAGUUUUAUUUAAAAAUCUGCAAAAACUCUAGAGCUAUAGCUGAUCAAGAAUAAGAGACAUGGCGCUUGACUUGACCGUUCUAUCUUUUAACUGCUCAAGACACAAGUGACGGUUACAAGCCCCAUGGUGAAAGGUAAAAUGAGUAAGUUUUAAGUCUUAACAGUUUAUUCUAACUCAGAGAUGAGAUCUUGCUUGAAUGCGUGUGUACUUUUAAGGCAUGAAACCACUGCAGAAACUCUUAAGUCCAUCUUUGCUCAGGGACCAGCAAGAGGUAAGCUUGGGGGAGUUGUUGACGGUCCUUAAGUACCAAAUAUAAUCAUCAAAUAAAUAAAGAAAAGGAUCCAAAUGAAAUCAACAGCUAACUUAGGGUUUUAUCUGAUAGAAUUCCACGAGUUUUGGUGUUUGUCUAUUUCUGCAGGGGGUUAUCAGGAAAUAAGGAAGAAAGGCCCACACGUCGGGAUUACAUAGAGAUAUCAACGCACCGUGCAAUUUUCUACCAUCUAGAAGACUCCAGAAGCCACGGGAAGAAAGCGGAGGCCGAAAGGGGCCAGGCCCAGGGCGCCCGCCCUGUCCUGGACUCCGUUCGGGACUCUCUUCGCACACGAUGUUCCACCGACCUAAAGGAUCAAGGAUAAUGUAGUACCACAUCGCCUACCGACCCAAAAAUGCAUAGAGGAGGAGGACUAUAUAAGGAGACCCCCUGGCCCCUAGAGAAGACAAGAAGUUAUCAUAGAGUUGAGGGGUGCCCUCGAAGGAGAACUUCUUCUCUAAAUAAUAUUUCUUUUUAGUCUUAGCAACCAAUGUAAGUAGAAAUAGAUCUUCUAGUUUCUACUAGAUUGAGAGAGAUAGAGUGGAGGUGUAGAUCGGAGGAAGGCCGGCCUGUCGGUGUCUACUCCGAGUUGUACCUGCAGGAUCAAGUCUCCUAACCCGAGUCUUGCUUCUAAGAUUCUUCAGUAAUUCGACUUCUAAUUCUAGUAAGUUCUUGUUUUAUUGUUCUUUGGUUUAUGAGUUUACUUUAAUCCUCUUCCGGUUGAGUAUUAGAAUAAUCAUUGCUAGCAUAAACGUGGUGUUUAGGCUAGGGUACUCAUAGAUAUCCCCUGACUAGCUGGACCAUGGUAGUAGCGAGGAACGUGACAUUUCCGAGUUACCUUUGUAUCCCAUAUCUUGUUAGCAGGACGGGUAGGUUUAUAGGUGCGGGUCGAACAUCCUUUGUGGUGUCUAGAUUCCGUAAGCUUCCCCAAUAGAACAGUAGAUCAUCCUUACCAAGGUUAGAACGAGACUAUAGUUGCAGUCUUCUCUAUACAUCGCUCACAUCGAGAAACAUUCUUUGUAGCCUAAAGGGAUAGUAGCAAUAGAUUUGGUUAGUCAGAUGCACCCUUUCUCCCAGUGGUAAAAAUAUAAAUACGAUACUCUGGAAAACCUCCCGGGUGAAAUGCUCACCGAUAUUCGUGCGCUUGCGGAUCAUUUUCUAAUUGCGUUACCAAAUAUCAACACUCGCCAAGCUUUCUUCUCUCAUUAGCCUCUUCUCUUUGCAUGUCAAAUGUCAACAAUCUUCCGAGCACAUCACUUGGGGUGAAGUGCUCGAAGUUCUUCUUGUCUCUAAUGAGAGUUUAUGAUCAUCAAGGUCACCCCCAUAGCCUCUAAUUUUUCCAACUAGCACCAUCAACCUAUCAAACAUUUCUUGUGGCCCUUCAUCACCAACAAUCACAAACCUAUUGAGCUUGGCCAUCAUCAAAUCAAUUUUGGCCUUCCUCACUUAGUCAACACCUUCAUGAGCCAAAACCAAAGUAUCCCAAAUCUGCUUGGCCACAUUCACAUUCAUCACCCUGUUGUACUCAUUUCCAUUGAGAGCACUAAGGAGAAUGCUUGUGGCUUGAUUAUUGAAGUGGACAGCAAUCAUUUCUUCAUUUGUUGGAUUCUCUGGAUCUGCAGGUUCCUAAAAUCCAUCACAAACAACACCCCAAAGACCGGGGUGAAGAGCUCCAAGAUAGCGACUCAUCAAAUGCUUCCACUUAGCAAAGUCGGUCCCAUCGAAAUGAGGCAACUUGCCAGCGGGCACGUUGACAAGACACUUCUUGUCUCGGUUAGACAAAUAAGAAUAGUUAAAGGAUACAACGGAGUAUUUCUUUUUGCUACUGUUGUCCUCCUUCGUUGAUUUGCCCUUCUUGUCCUUCUUGGAGCGGUUAUAUGAUUCAUCAUCAUCACUGUUGACGGUCCUUAAGUAUCAAAUUUAAUUAUCAAAUAAACAAAGAAAAGGAUCCAAAUGAAAUCAACAUCUAGACUUAAGGUUUUAUCUGACAGAAUUCCACGAGUUUUGGUGUUUGUCUAUUUCUGCAGGGGGUUAUCACGAAAUAAGGAAGAAAGGCCCACAUGUCAGGAUUACAUAGAGAUAUCAAGGCACCGCGCAAUUUUCUACCAUCUAGAAGACUCCAGAAGCCACGAGAUCGAAGCGGAGGCGAAACGGGGCCAGGACCUGGGCGCCCGCCCAGUUUCCUUGGGCGCCCGCCCACCUGCCGAGCCCAAUCAGGACUCUUUCUCUCGGGAGAUCUCCACCGACCUAUUGGAUCCAGAAUAACGUAGUACCACAUCGCCUACCGACCCAAAAACGCAUAGAAGGGGAGGACUAUAUAAGGAGACCCCCCUGGCCCUUGGAGAAGACAUGAAGAAAUUAUCAUAGAGAUUGAGGGGUGCCCUCGAAGGAAAACCUCUUCUCUAAAUAAUAUUUCUUUUUAGGUUUAGCAACCAAUGUAAGGUAGAAAUAGAUCUUCUAGUUUCUACUAGAUUGAGAGAGAUAGAGUGGAGAUGUGGAUCGGAGGAAGGCCGGCCUGUCGGUGUCUACUCCGAGUUGUACCUACGGGAUCAAGUCUCCUAACCCGAGGCUUGCUUCUAAGAUUCUUCAGUAAUUCGACUUCUAAUUCUAGUAAGUUCUUGUUUUAUUGUUCUUUGGUUUAUGAGUUUACUUUAAUCCUCUUCCGGUUGAGUAUUAGAGUAAUCACUUGCUAGCGUAAACGUGGUGUUUAGGCUAGGGUACUCAUAGAUAUCCCCUGACUAGCUGGACCGUGGUAGUAGCGAGGAACGUGACAUUUCCGAGUUACCUUUGUAUUCCAUAUCUUGUUAGCAGGACGGGUAGGGUUUAUAGGUGCGGGUCGAACAUCCUUUGUGUUGUCUAGAUUCCGUGAGCCUCCCCAAUAGAACAAUAGAUCAUCCUUACCAAGGUUAGAACGAGACUACGGUCGCAGUCUUCUCUAUACAUCACUCACAUCGAGAAACAUUCUUUGUAGCCUAAAGGGAUAGUAGCAAUAGAUUUGGUUAGUCAGAUGCACCCUUUCUCCCAGUGGUAAAAAUAUAAAUACGAUAACUCUGGAUAACCUCCCGGGUGAAAUGCUCACCGAUAUCCGUGCGCUUGCGGAUCAUUUUCUAAUUGCGUUACCAAAUAUCAACAAGCAUUUCUGGCGCCGUUGCCGGGGAGAAAGACGGUUUGCUGAGAUAACUUUGAGUCUUGCUAUUAUCUUGUAUUAUACUUUUAUAUUUUUAUUCUUUUAUCUUUUUAUUUUUAUCUUUAUGGAUAACUCAAAUUCCAUACCUAUUAUUGAAUUCUUUGCAUCUUCGGAAACCAGCCAUAGACCAUGGGAGUCAACACGUCCUGCCCCUAAUUAUGAUCUGUGUCCGGAGUUGAUUGCAAUAGGUCAAAACCAACCCUUUUCUAUAGCUGAGGUCCUAUCUUUUAAUCAAGAAGAUAAUGCACUUUUAGCUACACCUAGAGAAUCUGUUAAUCUUUCUAUAAAUUCUGGUUUAGACCUAGCCCUACAAGACCAUGUUUUUCCUAGAUAUUUUCACAUUGGUCUUAAUCAUAUAACCUUUGGUAGAGUCUUUCUUUCUUUAUCUAUUAGUAAAGGAAGGUAUGUCUUCAUUCGUAGACAUCCUUCUUGCACUAGUCUUCAUAGAAAAAUCUUAGAGAUAGAGAAGGAAUCAUCUCCCAGACGAGGAAAGGAAGUUUCAAUAGCCAAUUUCCAAACAUUUCAAUCCCAUGAUUUGGCUAUCCAACCCAUGCUUGAGCUUAAUAAUCUCUACUAUGCUAUUUCUCUUGAACCUCCCGAUAAUCCUAUGAAUCUAUCUAGACAUCCUGUGCAUAAGAGUCACCAAGACCACAAGGAGGAUCAAGAAGAGCAAUAUCAAUGGCUAGAGGGCAUUAAAAAUCCAUGUGCUAUCACCAUUGAAUGGAUGAAUAAAACAAACUUGAGAGGCAAUUCUAGAAGAAUUUUAAGCAUUCAUGAAAAAUCAUCCUUGGAGAUUGGAGAUAAAGAUAACAUUAAUGAGCAUGGAAUUUAUUUUAUAGCCACUUCGUUUACUCUAUGCUCAUAUGCAACAUCUUUCCAAUCAAUUUGUCUUUCCAACCUUACCACAUUUGAGAUCUCCAACCCCCUCUUCUUUUCUAUUUAUAAAAACUUUAAAAGAGCGGUUGUCGAUGCAUAUGUCUAUAAUAAAUAUUGCAGAUCUCGUUGAGUUGAUUGAUGGUUUCCCAAGGACAAGCUUAGUGUCCUAAAACAAGCACUUAUCAGAUCGUAAUAUGAACUUUUAAUUAUUUGCAACAUUGCCUUGUGUAUUGAGCAUAUAAAGAUAAUUGUAGAAAUAUUCCUUCGGGUAUUCUUGCCACUAACCCUUCUAGGACUGGAGAAAGAAGAUCGGAUGAAUGACAAGCACAAGGUAUGUCCAACCAAUCAUCAUGCAACAUUGAAUUAAAUUCAUCCAACAUUGAAUUUUGCAAAAUUCAAGCUUGGGGGAGUACUUUACAUAAAACAUCCUUUGCCAUGCUGCUAUGUUGGUUGUCCUUACCUUUGAGACAUGCUCAAUUUGUUAAAUACUAAUCACACUACUUCAUCUCCACUUGAGUAGAUCUCUAUAAAAGCCAUCAUGCUACCUUUGUUUAUCCUAGUAAGUGUUAGUUUGGAAGUACUAGACACACUUCCAAUGGCAUUUAAAUUAAGCGUGGUGCUUAGGUUAAAUAGCCUUCCUUAAUCUGAUUAGACAUGGAGUCUAGUUUGAUUACUGAACUAAAAACUGCUUGAGUAUGCAUUGGUAUAUUUUGUCGGACUAACCCCUGUAGGAAAACUUUCAAUAUCAACCUGGGAAGUCCUGAGACAAACUCACAUUGGAGAUGAAGAAAGUGAUACAUGAAGUUUAACAAUUUGCACAAGAAAGAUGUAGCUCAUAAGAGAUGAUUCAUGGAGGGUGCCACAAACACGAUGCACAACCGCUAAGAAAGGAAAGCUUCCACAAGGUGAUACUGUACCGUCACUCUUCAAGUAAGGCAACAUCUUAAGGUACUUGACUAUCACUUUUAUAAGCUUCUCCUUGGUUCUGGCGUUCACAUAAAAUAAAGAGACAAAACAUGUAUGAUUUAUAACUCCAGAUUAACCAACUCAAUAAAUUCAACAUGUUUAGUCCUUUAAUCUUUGUUCUUAGUACUACCUUCGUGAUCCCACACUCCUAAUCAUAUAAGCUAAAGUAUUGCACAUUCAAUCUUUGGAAGAUAUAAACAAAACAUAAAUAUAGAUAGAUUAUCUUUCCAUUAGGUUGAGCCAUCUGAUCUAACAAAAGUUUUAAAUGCUACACUCAUGAUCCAUCAACUUUGUCUUGCUCCCUAUGCUUAAGGUUAGAGAAGAACAAAUACACUUUUGGUUCUGUUGGUGUUUUCCACCAACAGGGCCCAUGCACUUGAUCUCUGCCUUGUCUCUAUGAGCAGGAACACUUCAAGCAAAACAUGAAGGAGUUUUACAACUUCCAGACUCCACCAGGUGAAGAACCAGGAUCUACGAGCACAAACACACUGGAGAUACUGGACACUCAGGCAAUCACUGCCCUGAGAUGCUUGAGGACGUGAACUACAUCAACAACAAUAAACUACAACCGUCCUCAACAAAAUCAAGGUUGGAAUCAACAGAGGCCUAAUUACUCAGAGAGGUGAUCCAGGACGCCCCGUCAUCCCGAUCUCCAUCGGCAUGGUGGACUUCCCAGAAGCACUCUGCGACUUUGGCUCCAGCGUCAACAUUAUGCCCAGGGUUGCAGAUCGGACACUUAGUUUCCCAAAGGAAAUAUUGAAGAACCUCUGCGUCCGAGUUGGUACCUUGUACGCUCCAGCAAACUUCGUGGUGAUAGAGACUGGUACUGAGGAGAGGGCACCCAUCAUCUUAGGGAGGCCAUUCCUAAACACCAGAGCUGUCAUCUAUGCUAAUGCUGCCAAGAUCAGUUCCUACAUCAAGGGGAAGAAGGAUACUUUCCUUCAAGAACAAGACUACACAAACUUCAGAGCAAUCUCGACAUGAACCAAUGAAGAGAACCAACAGGAGGAACAGGAACAAGCAAAUGUGGACCGAGUCAACUAAGAUGGUCAUUGCAACUCAAGGAGGGCAAGAUCGUCGACUCAAGUCACCUUUCUUGAUCAAGAAGGACGACCCUGGUGUUCCAAGCAUCAAGUGCACAAUCAAUAGAUACUCUUUUUAGAAGACACUCUACGACAGUAGAUCUGAUGUCAACACAAUGGCCGCAGUCACUUAUCAGCUCCUGCAUGGGACCAUGCUCCUACAACCAAGAUACAUUCAGCUCCAGACGAUUUUCAGGUCAUUGACAUGGGAGAAGACGAGUAUGAUCCACCCACCAUCCUUGGAAGACCGUUCCUCAACACUAUCAAAGCCAUCAUCUAUAUUGGAACCGAAGAAGUCCACAUAUACUUCCCCUCUGAGAAGGUACGCAGCUAUUUUACUGACCUUAACUAUAUAGUUGAAGACUCUAAGCAGGUCAGGACAAGAAGAAGACAACGCAACCACAACCAGAGGAGGCAAAUCAUCAAGGACGGAUGGGUAGACUACGAAGGAGAAGUGAUAAGGACUGAAGACAUACAGCUUGAACAGAACUGUCCUGAGGAGACUGUAGCACCGAGUUAGGUGUGGAGAGAGAAGAUAGUUAUACACGAAGAGGAGGCGCCGCCGGAACCACCGACUACGCCAUCCAGCAAAUCCCAGGACGACUGAGAAAACAGAGAGUCCCGUUCGGAGGACUUAAAAACACCGAACGCCUUGCCAAGAGGUAAACUUGGUAGUUAUCCUUUUCCAUUUAAUAGUUUGCUUAGUUAAUCAGGUUCAUGCUAUCUUGAAAAGAAAAUAAAAAAAUAGUAAGCCCCAUGUGAGUAUGCUCAUGGCAUAAAACCCAUAAGUACAUUCACUGUGGUGGCAUAAAAAUAAAAUAAAUAAGUUUUCAUCUUACAAUAAAAAUAUAAAAAUAAUAAGUGCAUGAUCCUGCUAAAUAAGUAAUAUUCAUGGAGGAGGCUCAACAUGAUAAAGGCUAGAUAUUUAUGCUAACACUUAACCAGUUCCACAAAGCUUUGUUGUCUAUUUGAGCUCCACAGAAUUCAAGGAUCAAAGAAGAGUAGCAGACGGAGGACAUCCUAAUCACUGUCAGGGUGCUACCGACAUUCAAAUACACCUCCAUCACCUACUAGCUACAUCAGAAGAAAUUACGUCAAAAUCCAGCUUGGGGAGAGCACCCCCAUUUAUCUAGCUAAGUUUUUCUACUCGUGUUUAUACUUUACUCAAAUAAUAAAAGAUGCAUAAUCAUGAAAACCCAAAUAAAGAUUUUGUGCUUUUAUAUAUAUAUAUAUCUUUGCUUAGUUUGCUAAAUAAAUAAAUAAAUAAAGUUUGCUAUGAACCCUCGUGAUAAGCUCUCUCAUGGAAAUGAUGAAUAGUUGCUCUGCCAUGGCUAGUUCUUAAAAUUGAAAUCUAUCUCAAGUUUAGGCAUAAUUGUUAUAAUAAAGCUUGCUCUAAACCUAAACUUGUGGGAAGAGUACUUGAUCUAAAGUCUAAGUUGUUAACGGAUAUGAUAUGGGAAGGUUGAGCUGCUGUUUAUCUGUUCCUAAAGAUGCUAGAAUUCUGGAGAAUUUUAUCUUUGAAAAAUCUUUAAAAUAACACAUGAUGAGUUCCUGUAUGAUGAGAGUUUAAAAUCCUACCACAGCCAUAUAUACAUACUUAUUAGACUUUGAGCCACACAUUUACUUUUUACUACUUAUGAGCAUUGAGUGUGGUCAAGCUGUGUAGAUCCUUAGGAGCUUGUCAUGUGGUUAAAAUCAAGAUUCACUUGCACGUUCACUCAUACAUGCUACUUCUACUCCGGAAGUACCAUCCACACAUAUCCACUCAUUUCCAUCUCCAGAUUCACUCAAAAAUAUUCUACUCCUAAUCCGGGAGAGAAUAGCCAAAAACAUUUUCCUAUCCAUGUUAUUCUCUGUGAAAUAAAUGCUCUAGUUAUUUUGGUUACUACCACUUGCUACAUUAUUUCAGGAGAUGAGUGCUCUGAAAAAAAGAAAAAAAGAAAAAAAAUAAUAAAUACGAGGAAAUAAAAAGGGGCAAGUGCCCGGAACCUCGAAGAAAAAGAAAAAAAAGUGAGACGAGAGGUAAAAAUGGACAAGUGUCCGACAGUAGAAUUAGGGGUACAAGAUACCCACCUGAGAGAAAAGAAAAAGAAAAUAUAGAGCAUCUCAUUCUCCCCAAAAAGCUUCAAAGUGCAAGAAAGGUAUGUAUCCCCUCAAAAGAGCAAAAGUAGAAUUAGACUUUCACCAUUGUUUUCACCAUUGUUAUUACCAUCAUCACCAUACACCAUUCAUUCGCCACACAUGCACAUCUUGAUUUGACUUAUUGACUUGUUUCUCUGGAUCCAUGGUUUGACUAUGCAAUAAAUGUCUUGUAAGUAUGUAUUAUCUGUCUCCCACCUAUGAGCUCCAGAUAUCAAAACCUUAUUAGAGUAGGGUGAGAGAGAAGGCAAUAUCACUAUGCCUCAUACCAAAAAUACCACAUACUUUGAGAGAAGGCAUAUACCAUUACUGCCUUGGUAAGGAUCCAGAAAUACCACAAAAGAGAGAUUUGAGAGAGUCAUAUAAGGAAUCUCUGAGUUUUAUUUGAAAAUCUGCAAAAAAAACCCAGAGCUAUAGCUGAUCAAGAAUAAGAGACAUGGCACUUGGCUAGACUGUUCUAUCUUUUAACUACUCAAGACACAAGUGACGGUUACAAGCCCCAU